UCCGGUUUGGCACCGGCAGUCCUCCCAGAGUCCUCAGCAUUACCUGUUAGCAACUGGAAGCGAGGGUUGCGCUCGUUGCGGGACUUAACCCAACAUCUCACGACACGAGCUGACGACAGCCAUGCAGCACCUGUGCAUGAGCUCCGAAGAGGGCCUCUGGUUUCUCAGAGGUUUCCCAUGCAUGUCAAGCCUAGGUAAGGUUCUUCGCGUUGCAUCGAAUUAAGCCAUAUGCUCCACCGCUUGUGCGGGCCCCCGCCAAUUCCUUUGAGUUUCAACCUUGCGGCCGUAGUCCCCAGGCGGGAUACUUAUUGCGUUAGCUGCGACACGGAAGGGGUCUAUACCUCCCACGUCUAGUAUCCAUAGUUUAGGGCGUGGACUAC
rnacentral:misc_RNA from 1 species